GCAACGCGAAGAACCUACCUGGUCUUGACAUCCCGGAGACCCUUAGGAAACUAGGGGUGCUUCCAUCUGGAAGAAUCUGGAGACAGGUGCUGCAUGGCUGUCGUCAGCUCGUGUCGUGAGAUGUUGGGUUAAGUCCCGCAACGAGCGCAACCCUUGCCUUUAGUUGCCAGCAGUUCGGCUGGGCACUCUAAAGGGACUGCCGGUGUUAAACCGGAGGAAGGUGGGGAUGACGUCAAGUCCUCAUGGCCUUUAUGACCAGGGCUACACACGUACUACAAUGGCCGAUACAAAGGGCAGCGACACUGCGAGGUGAAGCCAAUCCCGUAAAAUCGGUCUCAGUCCGGAUUGGAGUCUGCAACUCGACUCCAUGAAGUUGGAAUCGCUAGUAAUCGUGGAUCAGCAUGCCACGGUGAAUACGUUCCCGGGCCUU
rnacentral:rRNA from 1 species